AAGGCUUUAAGUUAAUUAAACUAAUAGUCUUCAAAAUUAUAAAUAAAGAAAAUUUCUUUAAGCCUUA
rnacentral:tRNA from 2 species